rfam:Felis catus isolate Cinnamon breed Abyssinian chromosome B2, whole genome shotgun sequence.
GCCUGGGUGGCUUGGUCGGUUAAGCGUCCGACUUCGGCUCAGGUCAUGAUCUCACAGUCCGUGAGUUCGAGCCCCACAUCAGGCU